CGGAUUGGAGUCUGCAACCCGACUCCAUGAAGCUGGAUUCGCUAGUAAUCGCGCAUCAGCCACGGCGCGGUGAAUACGUUCCCGGGCCUUGUACACACCGCCCGUCACACCAUGAGAGUUGGGAAUACCCGAAGCCUGUGAGCUAACGUUAAGAGGCAGCAGUCGAAGGUAGAAUCAAUGAUUGGGGUGAAGUCGUAACAAGGUAGC
rnacentral:rRNA from 1 species